rnacentral:sRNA from 1 species
CGAAGAAGAAAAUUUAGUAAAUAAUAAUAAUACUAGUAAUAAUAGUGAUAUUAACGAUAAUAAUAGCAAUGUUCCUAUUGCGUUAAAACGUCCAUUUCCUGGAUCUUAUCAUGAGAAUCUCCUACGGAAGUCUACAUCAACAAUUCCACAACCAACUGAUGAUAUAGUGAAUACAACAGUUAGGCCUACAAUUAGUCCAGGUGUCAGCGUUGAACCGGGUGAUGAUAGAGUGGCCAGAAUUAUGGUCACCAUGAACAAACUGAACCGAACUUCGGAUACCACGGAUUUCGCCAGAAAUACUGUACCAGUUAAGGAUCAAACGGCCACAGAUCCUACAGUUAAGAAAACUGAAGCUCCAUGGAAAAGUAUUAGGAAACCGAACCAUGAUUUUAAGAAUAAGUUGCGAGGAGAUCGUACGAAAUCAGGCGGCGGCCCACCCGGACCGGAUGCUUCCAUGCUGGUCUACAACGCUUUCACACCACAACUAAUCGAACCAACCACUGAACGCCAUGCACCACUACCCACUGAAUCAAGAAAGAGCUAUCAAUCUGUC